rnacentral:tRNA from 1 species
GCUCUUGUUGUCUAAUGGAUAAAACGCUGGCUUCCGGAGUCAAAGAUUGUGAAUUCAAGUGUUACCAGGGGUG